UCUUUUAGAUGUUUCAAAGCCCAGGUAGC
rnacentral:piRNA from 1 species